rnacentral:misc_RNA from 1 species
CAAAAAGUGGUCAUAUAAUAAAACCUGACACAUUUAAUCACCAAGUAUAUUGAAAAUUCAACAUGAAAAGGCAUACACAAAACAGGCAGAAAGAAAAAGGUCUAUAGCUUAAGUGAAAUUGAAUGCAUACUGAGUAAACGAGAAGAAUCAAAUCAAAGUAAACAGUCCUUAAUUAAAGGGCUAACUCUCACUCAGGCCUCAGCUAGGAAAAAGGUCUGAAUGGUAGAAAGAGAACACAAAAACUUGAAUUCUAUUACUUCCCAAGUUCCAGCUCUAUUGGUCAACAGUGGAGGCCUGUUGCCACUCCCCAUCAACAG